rnacentral:rRNA from 1 species
UAAGCGCCAUGUGAAAUCCAAACGGCUCAACCGUUGAACUGCAUGGCGAACUGGCACACUAGAGUAUAUGAGAGGUCGCUGGAAUUCCUGGUGUAGGAGUGAAAUCCGUAGAUAUCAGGAGGAACACCAAUGGCGAAGGCAGGCGACUGGCAUAUUACUGACACUGAGGCACGAAAGCGUGGGAGCGAACGGAUUAGAUACCCGGUAGUCCACGCCGUAAACGAUGGAUACUA